rnacentral:lncRNA from 1 species
AAAGAUGUCAUAAAAAUUUGAUAGAAAUUUGGAUAGAAAAAGCACAGUAGCAAGAUCAAACAGAUGGUGCUAUGCGGCUGGAAUUCUGCAAUGUAUCUUUCAUCGUAGAGAUGAAAACUUUGUGACGAAAAGUUUAUGCAGCAAUAUAGGAACAAUUUUUUUUUUUUUUGGAUUUUCGAAUAAGGAUAACUAAAUUGCAGUAGCAUUAAGAUAGGAAACCAGAACCUGUUGCAAUUCACGGGGAGAUCAAAGGAUGAUCCGUGGUGGUGGAGAUGAUGGCGGAAUUCGGUGACGAUCUUUUAAACAAUUGUGGGAAUUGCUUUGGAUGGUUGUAGAGGGUUGAUGGAUGGCUGUGGAAGGGCAGCGAGACGCCAAGAACGCUGCUCUGAUACCAGGUGAUAGAACCCUUGCAGAUUCUAAACUUGGGGUUGAUCUCUUUAGGGGAUCGGCCUCCUUGGAACUCU